AUUGAACGCUGGCGGCAGGCUUAACACAUGCAAGUCGAGCGGAGAUGAGGUGCUUGCACCUUAUCUUAGCGGCGGACGGGUGAGUAAUGCUUAGGAAUCUGCCUAUUAGUGGGGGACAACAUUCCGAAAGGAAUGCUAAUACCGCAUACGCCCUACGGGGGAAAGCAGGGGAUCUUCGGACCUUGCGCUAAUAGAUGAGCCUAAGUCGGAUUAGCUAGUUGGUGGGGUAAAGGCCUACCAAGGCGACGAUCUGUAGCGGGUCUGAGGGGAGGAUCCGCCACACUGGGACUGAGACACGGCCCAGACUCCUACGGGAGGCAGCAGUGGGGAAUAUUGGACAAUGGGCGGAAGCCUGAUCCAGCCAUGCCGCGUGUGUGAAGAAGGCCUUUUGGUUGUAAAGCACUUUAAGCGAGGAGGAGGCUACCUGGAUUAAUACUCUAGGAUAGUGGACGUUACUCACAGAAUAAGCACCGGCUAACUCUGUGCCAGCAGCCGCGGUAAGAC
rnacentral:rRNA from 1 species